CAAAAGAUGCAAAAGAUAUGGUGAACAGUGCAAAAGGCUGGAAAAUCCAGCAAAUUUUUUCCCCAUACCUGGUAGUAGUGUUGAUCAAUUCCACAAGCAUUUGCAGCUCUGAUGGCUUCAAUUGGCUACCCUGAAAUCCUCUUGGCAGUCAUUUGCUUUCUCCUCCUUCAUCGACUAAGCAACAGCAACGUGCUUCCCUGGAACUGGCCACUUGUUGGAAUGCUUCCAUGGAUUUUUCGCAACAUUCAGCAGAUUCAGGACAGAUGUACUGAAGUUCUAGAGCAAAGCAGCGGCACUUUCCUACUGAAAGGACCUUGGUUUGCUAACAUGGACAUGCUGAUCACCAGUGAUCCUGCCAAUGUGCAUUAUAUAAUGAGCACUAACUUCUCUAAUUUUCCCAAGGGGCCUGAGUUCUUGAAGAUUUUUGAUGUUUUGGGAGAGGGGAUUUUCAAUUCUGACUCGGAUCUAUGGAGGAAACAAAGAAAACUAGCUCAAGUGUUGAUCAAUGACCGGCAGUUCCAGCAGUUCCUGGUGAAGACUACCCAGAAUAAGGUGGAUGAAGGACUAAUUCCAGUUCUUGAGCAUGUGUCCAAGCAGGGUCUGUUGGUGGACUUGCAAGAUCUGUUCCAGAGGUUUACAUUUGAUACCACCUGCAAAUUGAUCACUGGCUUCGACACCAAAUGUCUCUCCAUUGAAUUCCCAAGAGUCCUAUUCGCAAAGGCCAUGGAUGAUGUUGAAGAAGCCAUAUUUUUCCGGCAUGUUGUACCUGAAAGUCUCUGGAAAUUACAAAGGUGGCUGGGGAUUGGAGUAGAGAAGAAGUUAAGCAAAGGUUGGGAAACCAUAGAUAAUGUUAUAGCUGAAUAUAUAUCAAUGAAACAUGAAGAACUAAGCAAAGGAAUUACCAAAUUGCAAGAAGAUGAAGAGGGCACCGAUCUUUUAACAUCAUACAUGAAUGAAGACAGUACCAUGGAGUUGAAAUCCAAUAAGUUUUUGAGAGACACCAUUGUGAAUUUCCUGCUCGCAGGGCGAGACACUACUAGUGCAGCUCUCACCUGGUUUUUCUGGCUUGUUUCAAAGAAUCCAUUAGUGGAAGCCAAGAUUAGAGAAGAACUCAAAGAAACCAUACCAGAGAAAGAAGAUCAGAAAUGGCAUAUCUUCAGAACAGAAGAGCUAAAUAAACUAGUAUAUCUCCAUGGUGCAUUGUGUGAAACAUUAAGACUCUACCCACCUGUUCCAUUCCAGCACAAAGCCCCUCAUCAAGCAGAUGUCCUACCGAGUGGCCACAGGGUUCAUCCAAAGAUGAAGAUCUUAUUUUCCUUGUAUGCAAUGGGUAGAAUGACAACAAUAUGGGGAAAAGAUUGCUUUGAGCUCAAGCCAGAGAGAUGGAUCACAGAGCAAGGAGGUAUUAAGUAUGAGCCAUCUUACAAGUUCUUUGCAUUCAAUGCUGGUCCAAGGACUUGUCUAGGGAAGGGGGUAGCUUUCACUCAAAUGAAGGCAGUUGCAGCUGCUAUAAUCCAUAAUUACAAUGUUCAACUGGUGCAAGGUCAUCCUGUGGCUCCUAAUGUUUCAAUUAUUCUUCACAUGAAGCAUGAAUUAAUGGUUAGAGUUACCAAGAGAUGGUGAUGAAUUGACAAUACUGCAGGGUGCAUGGUGAGUCUCACCUGAAUGGCUUCAUUUAUCAAACUGGUUCUUAUCUGUAGAAGGCUAGCCACAAGGGACGAUGCAGUAUCAAGAGUUUGAAGAGUGGAGCAGAGUGAAAGGCGAGAGAGGGCCAGAAAGGGUGGUAGUGGAAUAAAGAAAAGAGACCAAUAGAUACUUAAUCAUAUGAUACUUAAUCAUAGAGAAUUGCUAGCACUCCAAAGCAAUGCUUCAAAUACACAUUAAGCAUGCUUUUAUUUUCUUUUCUUUUUUGCUGAAAUGUAUCCUAGGGAACAUGAAGAAUAGUCUCCUUGAAUAGAUUGAAGCAAGGAUUUCUCAAA